AACACAUUCCUUAGAUCCACCUUUGGGAUUUAUCUGUCUUGCUGUUCUGGAUUAUUCCAUUAUGGUUGCCAGGUAAUCCACAACUUUUGUGGUUGUACAGUCAAAGGUGCUUGAGUCAUUGAUGUGUGAGAGUAAUCUCCCUGCAUGUUAGCCUUGCUUGUUCCAUUGUGAAUAGUCUGUAUUACAGUCUAUUUACUGCCAUUGGGACUUGGCUGAUCUGCGGACAGA